rnacentral:rRNA from 1 species
AGGCCGGGAAGCUUUCCAUGCAAGUCGGACGGCAGCACAGAGAAGCUUGCUUCUUGGGUGGCGAGUGGCGAACGGGUGAGUAAUAUAUCGGAACGUACCGAGUAGUGGGGGAUAACUAAUCGAAAGAUUAGCUAAUACCGCAUAUUCUCUGAGGAGGAAAGCUGGGGACCUUCGGGCCUAGCGCUAUUUGAGCGGCCGAUAUCUGAUUAGCUAGUUGGUGGGGUAAAGGCCUACCAAGGCGACGAUCAGUAGCGGGUCUGAGAGGAUGAUCCGCCACACUGGGACUGAGACACGGCCCAGACUCCUACGGGAGGCAGCAGUGGGGAAUUUUGGACAAUGGGCGCAAGCCUGAUCCAGCCAUGCCGCGUGUAUGAAGAAGGCCUUCGGGUUGUAAAGUACUUUUGUCAGGGAAGAAAAGCAUAGUGCUAAUAUCACUGUGUGAUGACGGUACCUGAAGAAUAAGCACCGGCUAACUACGUGCCAGCAGCCGCGGUAAUACGUAGGGUGCGAGCGUUAAUCGGAAUUACUGGGCGUAAAGCGAGCGCAGACGGUUAGUUAAGCAAGAUGUGAAAUCCCCGGGCUCAACCUGGGAACUGCGUUUUGAACUGGCUAGCUAGAGUGUGUCAGAGGGGGGUAGAAUUCCACGUGUAGCAGUGAAAUGCGUAGAGAUGUGGAGGAAUACCGAUGGCGAAGGCAGCCCCCUGGGAUAACACUGACGUUCAUGCUCGAAAGCGUGGGUAGCAACAGGAUUAGAUACCGUGGGUAGUCCAA